rnacentral:rRNA from 1 species
UGAGGAAUAUUGGUCAAUGGGCGGGAGCCUGAACCAGCCAAGCCGCGUGAGGGAGGAAGGCCCUAUGGGUCGUAAACCUCUUUUGUCAGGGAACAAAAGCGAGUAUGUAUACUAGUCUGAGUGUACCUGAAGAAAAAGCAUCGGCUAACUCCGUGCCAGCAGCCGCGGUAAUACGGAGGAUGCGAGCGUUAUCCGGAUUUAUUGGGUUUAAAGGGUGCGUAGGCGGCGGUGCAAGUCAGCGGUAAAAGCCCGGGGCUCAACCCCGGCGAGCCGUUGAAACUGCAGUGCUAGAGAAGGCGAGAGGUACGCGGAAUGCGCAGUGUAGCGGUGAAAUGCUUAGAUAUUGCGCAGAACUCCGAUUGCGAAGGCAGCGUACUGGCGCCUGACUGACGCUGGGCACGAAAGCGUGGGGAUCGAACAGAUUAGAUACC